GACGAACGCUGGCGGCGUGCUUAACACAUGCAAGUCGAACGAUGAACCCGGAGCUUGCUCCGGCGGAUUAGUGGCGAACGGGUGAGUAACACGUGAGUAACCUGCCCUUGACUCUGGGAUAACUGCGGGAAACUGUAGCUAAUACCGGAUACGACCCUCGGCGGCAUCGCCAGGGGGUGGAAAGAAUUUCGGUCAAGGAUGGACUCGCGGCCUAUCAGCUAGUUGGUGAGGUAACGGCUCACCAAGGCGACGACGGGUAGCCGGCCUGAGAGGGUGACCGGCCACACUGGGACUGAGACACGGCCCAGACUCCUGCGGGAGGCAGCAGUGGGGAAUAUUGCACAAUGGGCGCAAGCCGGAUGCAGCAACGCCGCGUGAGGGAUGACGGCCUUCGGGUUGUAAACCUCUUUUAGUAGGGAAGAAGCGAAAGUGACGGUACCUGCAGAAAAAGCACCGGCUAACUACGUGCCAGCCGCCGCAGUAA
rnacentral:rRNA from 1 species